ensembl:lncRNA
GAAGCUAGUCAGACUCAUUUCCACUGAGCCACGACAGGAAUUCCAAAAUCCAGAUUUUAAGUGUAAGAUAUCAGUGAAAAAACUUUAGGAAUAUAUAUAUUUUUUUCUUUCUGCCUUUUCUAGGGCCGCUCCUGCAGCAUAUGGAGGCUGGUGGCUAUGGCUCCGAUUCAGCCCCUAGCCUGGGAACCUCCAUAUGCCGAGGGAGCGGCCCAAGAGAUAGCAACAACAACAACAAAAAGACAAAAAAAAGACAAAAAGACAAAAAGACAAAAAAAAAAAAAAAAAAAAAAAAAAAAAAAAAAAAAAGAUUCACUUGGUCCACAGGAAGACUUACAUGUUAGCGCCAUCAGACUCGGAAGUGUAGCCCAUUUCCACUUUAGCUGAGGCUCUUUUGCCUUGUUCUACGAAUGCAGAUGCUGAUCCACUGGCCUUGAGGGCUCAGUCUGCACACAUGCUCCACUGAGCAGGCUGAGUUUCUGCACUGAGGCAACAUCCAGCCAGAGCAUAGAAUAGUAGCCUCUCUCAUGGCAGAUAGCCCCAAGAUAGGAGGCUCUUUUGGAGUGCUUGAUCUGCAAGGGAAGGAAAGGGAAUCACUGUCUGCCCCUGAGAAUUCUCUUUGCAGAAGUGUCUUCUGCAAUGCAGGUUAUUGUUCACAGACUCUGGGGGGUGACCUCUGGACUUGUUUGACCAUGUGUCGCCAGGCCUGUGGUCCUGUGAUGGGAACUUACCACAUACUGCCUUUAGCAUCAAGACUUUGGCUGAAAAUCUGAAACCGUAGAAGACUUUCCAUUCUGCUUCUGUUGAAAAGAAUUUAGAAAUUAUUAGCUUAUCUAGGAAGAUAUAAAGAGAAGUGUUAUACCUUCAGUUGUAUUUAGAACUUGUCAACUACCCCACUCUGUAAUCUUCUCCCUUCAUAGUAAUGAGAAAUACAAAGUACAGAGGAAAUGCUUGAUGAAUCAACUCAUGGUGAUUUUAGGAUACUAGUCUCUGGGGAAGAGAAGGGUGACCAAUAUAAUAACAGGAAUAGGGUUUCUUGUCUACAGUGCUCUUUACUAAUUUGGAUAAACAUUUGGUCACUUAACUGGGAAAAAAGAAACCAAAACUUUGUUAGCUCAGUCAAACCAGUGGCUUAGGUUGGCUAAGGUAGCUAAAAUAUGAAACUGGGUUGACAGGCUUCCCUUGUGGAAAUCUCUAAACAGUACAGAUGAUAUGUAUUUAAUGUAUAUUUUAUAUAUAUAAAAUAUGUUUGUGUCUGUAAUAUGUGUAUCUGUUGAUGUUUGUAUAAUAUAUAUGUAUAUAUACAUGUAGAUACUUAUUUUUAUAGUCCUGAUACAGCUGUCAGGGAAGAGUUGACAUACAAUGGGGUCAUUCACAUGCAUUUUAAGAAUUGGCAAAGAGUAAUAAGUAGCACAGAUGAAGGAGAAUGGUUGGAAAAAGAAACAGGUAAUUUUCUAAAUUUCUGCAGCAGAUUCAGAUGAAUAUAAAACAUAUUUAUCAGUUCAUUGGUUAGCUUAUUUUGAGGUAGAAAAUAAUCUCUCCCUCUUUGUUUGUCUUUUGUCUUUUUGGGGCCGCAACUGCAGCAUACGGAGGUUCACAGGCUAGGGGUUGAAUUGGAGCUGUAGCUGCCGGCCUACGCCAGAGCCACAGCAACAUGGGAUCUGAGCCACAUCUGCAACCUACACUACACCUUGCGGCAACACCAAAUCCUUAACCCACUGAGCAAGGCCAGGAAUCGAACCCGUGUCCUCAUGGCUGCUAGUCAGGUUUGUUAACCACUGGGCCAUGACGGGAACUCCAGAAAAUCAUCUCAAAACAUUUAAUACCGGAGUUCCUUUGUGGCAUAGCAGGUUAAGGAUCUGGCAUCGUCCCUGCAGUGGCUCAGGUUGCUGCUGUGGUUCCGGUUCGAUCCCUGGCUCUGGGAACUUCCACGUGCCGAGGGGGUGCCCCCCCAAAAAGCGUUUAAUACAUCUUUGUGCUAGAAUCCAUAGGUGCCAAUAUAAGAAGUCAUUUUAAAGGUAUAAAUUUAAUUAUUAAUGUUUUCCAAAUAUAUUGACAUGCAUCUUUUAUCUAACAGUAGUGACUUCUGUGGCUAAAAAGGAGAAUAUAUCUCAGUAGUAUCUAAGAUUUAAAAAAAUAACUUUGGAACUUAUAAAAAUAAUACAUGAUCAUGCUAAAAAUAUUGGAGAAUAACCAAGAAGCACAAAAAAGGCAUCAAAAGAGCUUGCUCUUAAUCUGAUCAUGAACAGCUAUUAUAGGCCAGAAUGAGAAACACCAGAUUGCUUUUUGUUUAUUGAUACUUUUUUUCCCAUGAGUUAUAAAAAAUUGGCCUUUUCAUGGCAGAACUUCCUUUGAUCUAUAUUUAAUCAUCUCGCUUAUUUUUCUGUUAAAGACUAAUAAGAAUUCUCUUUCAUGGCUAGGCUUUAUAUGUAGGGUGUGCACCAGUAUUGUGGCCAGUAUCAUCAGAAAUCUGAUAAAGAGAACUUCUCAAACUUUGUUAUAGAAGAUUUUUGUCUAAAUUUUUGAGCCUUAGUUGUUAUGAAUUACUUUAAGAUGCAGAAAAAGAAAUAAGGAAAGAGAACUGAUGCCUAAGAAAAAAGAUAUUUUAGGAGUUCCCCUGUGGCACAGCAGAAAUGACUAGUAACCAUGAGGUUGUGGGUUUGAUCCUGUCCUCGCUUGUGGGUUAAGGAUCAAGCGUUGCUGUGGCUGUGGUGUAGGCUGGUGGCUACAGCUCCGAUUCAGCCCCUAGCUUGGGAACCUCCAAAUGCCAUGGGAGCCCAAAAAAGAAAAAGAAAAAGAAAAGAAAAAAA